UUUUUGCUCCCAAGGUCCCGCCACUAGGUCGCAUAACACGCAUUGUCAACACCGUGUGAUGUGACGUAGUGGUAUGUCUAGGGGAGUUGCCU